rnacentral:rRNA from 1 species
UACGUAGGGUGCAAGCGUUGUCCGGAAUUAUUGGGCGUAAAGAGCUCGUAGGCGGUCUGUUGCGUCGGCUGUGAAAACCCGGGGCUCAACCCCGGGCCUGCAGCCGAUACGGGCAGACUAGAGUUCGGCAGGGGAGAGUGGAAUUCCUGGUGUAGCGGUGAAAUGCGCAGAUAUCAGGAGGAACACCGGUGGCGAAGGCGGGUCUCUGGGCCGAUACUGACGCUGAGGAGCGAAAGCAUGGGUAGCGAACAGG